GCGGGCUUGGCGUAGCGGUAACGUACCACCUUGCCAUGGUGGGGUCGAGGGUUCGACUCCCUCAGCCCGCUCCA
rnacentral:tRNA from 1 species